CGAGAAGCCCGCUUCCGGCUGGCCAUCUUGGGCGUAGAACUCUUGCCCUAGGCUUUGCCGUUAACUGUGACAGACGUAUAUUUCUGAGAGUGGAAAAAAGGAAAGUACCCUAGGUGGGCCUCCCGGCGACCGCGAGAGUGUCCCUGAGCUUGCACGGGUCUCGGACACGCGCUCCGUGCCUCCUUCUAGGCUAGAGGCCCCGGCGGUGAAGCGCCAUACGGGGAUCUGGGCCCGCGUUCCUUUGUCAACCCGGGAGGCCGGAGGGGGAGACCCAUUCCCCUACCGGAGAGGCUGGACCAGGCCUUGCUGGGAGCCAUGCCCCGUAUCCCCGUUUCCUGGAGACCCAGGGUUCGCACAUUGCCGCGGGGAAGAGGUCGAGGAGAAAUCUCCACGGAGACUCAUGGCCUGGGAAACCCCGGGGCAUCUCUAGCCCCGCUCCGCCCACCCUGACCCGCACCGUCCCGACCAGCUGCGUCUCGGGCGCCGCCUCCCAUGAGCCGCUCUCGCCUGGGCACCGCCCCACCUCGCCCUUCCCACUCCACUGUGCUCAAGAGUCCCUCCGGGAAGGACGGGAGGAAAUCCUGCUCGAGCGCAC
rnacentral:lncRNA from 10 species